ensembl:lncRNA
GGGGGGGACAUCAUGGCGGCGCACAUGAUAGCAUGAAGCACCGGUCACAGGGAACCUGGAGCCUAUCCCAGGGAGCAUUGGGCACAAGGAGGGGUUACACCAUGGACAGGGUGCCAAUCCAUCGCAGGUCACAAUCAUACACACACACACCGUUCAUACACUGUUCAUACACUAUGGACACUUUGGGCAUGCCAAUCAGUCUACCAUGCAUGUCUUUGGAAUGGGGAGGAAACCGGAGUACCUGGAGGAAACCCCCGCAGCACGGGGAGAACAUGCACACACAAGGCAGCAGGCAGGAAUCGAAUCCCCAAUGCUGAAGGUGUGAGGCGAAUGUGCUAACCACUAAGCCUAACAUAGGAUCUCUUCAUUGUGCUGGAGUCCUUUAAGGAUCCUCUUUACAAGCCUGUGCAUGAUGCAAACAGAAAUGGAUAUCUCUGAAAGCUGCCUUUUAAGCUAGCAGUCACUUCAGCUGCAUGCUCUGGUGAUAUGCUUACCUUGCAAGGAUUGAUGGCCAGAGGACUCUGGAGUGACCUUUGUUGCUGAACCCAGGGAUCCAACGGCUGAAGCAGAGUCUGCCGGAACGAAGCUCAAGCGAACUGACAAACGUACGACCGCCGUCUUCCCUGUUUCCAUGGAGAUGGGUGCAGAAACCUGCCUCUUAUGCC